CCGUUCAAUACUGCGGAGCUCGAGGGCAGAAGAGGGGGGUGGAAUUGCUGGUGUAGUGGUGAAAUGCGUAGAUAUCAGCAGGAACACCUGUGGCGAAAGCGGCCCCCUGGUCUGCUCCUGACACUCGGACGCGAAAGCUAGGGGAGUGAACGGGAUUAGAAACCCCGGUAAUCCUAGCCGUAAACGAUGGAUGCUAGGUGUGGGUGGUAUUGACCCCAUCCGUGCCGAAGCCAACGCGUUAAGCAUCCCGCCUGGGGACUACGGCCGCAAGGUUAAAACUCAAAGGAAUUGACGGGGACCCGCACAAGCAGCGGAGCGUGUGGUUUAAUUCGAUGCUACACGAAGAACCUUACCCAGGUUUGACAUGCAGGUAGUAGUGAAGCGAAAGCGGAACGAUCCUUCGGGAAGCCUGCACAGGUGCUGCAUGGCUGUCGUCAGCUCGUGCCGUGAGGUGUUUGGUUAAGUCCACUAACGAGCGCAACCCCUGUCGUCAGUUACAUGUGUCUGGCGAGACUGCCGGUCUUAAACCGGAGGAAGGUGGGGAUGACGUCAAGUCAGCAUGGCCUUUAUAUCUGGG
rnacentral:rRNA from 1 species